rnacentral:ncRNA from 1 species
UCAAAGGCUGUGACAGAGUAAAGUAAAUUGACAGAAGUCGCUAGAGAUGUGCAAAGUAAAUGGUGAAAUUGCACUCGACCGAAAUCAGUUGAAGUUCCCUCUUGAGCCGUUUGUGUGAAUGUAAAGCGGGAUGGCAUCCCGCUCCACUAGUAGUACAAACCGUUUUCUUGGCGUUAUACAAGACAGAGAGAAUCAUUUUUAUCAAUGAUUAACUUGGGUGGUACCGCGAGAUUUGAGUCUCGUCCCAUUA